AAAGAAACCAACAGGGAUUGCCUCAGUAACGGCGAGUGAAGCGGCAACAGCUCAAAUUUGAAAUCUGGCUCCGGCCCGAGUUGUAAUUUGCAGAGGAAGCUUCUGGUGAUAUACCGUCUAAGUCCCCUGGAACGGGGCGCCACAGUGGGUGAGAGCCCCAUUUGACGGAUGUAGAUCCUGUGUGAAGCUCCUUCGACGAGUCGAGUAGUUUGGGAAUGCUGCUCAAAAUGGGAGGUAAAUUCCUUCUAAAGCUAAAUAUUGGCCAGAGACCGAUAGCGCACAAGUAGAGUGAUCGAAAGAUGAAAAGCACUUUGAAAAGAGGGUUAAACAGCACGUGAAAUUGUUGAAAGGGAAGCGCUUGUGACCAGACUUGCG
rnacentral:rRNA from 1 species